rnacentral:misc_RNA from 1 species
AGCAGGACUUUGGCGGCCUCGACGGCUUGAAGAAGGCCGUCAACGCCGCUGCCCUCGGUAUCCAGGGAUCUGGAUGGGCCUGGCUCGGGUACAACCCGACGACCAAGAAGCUCGAGGCUGUCUCGACGGCCAACCAGGACCCGCUCCUCGGCUACGUUCCCCUCGUCGGCAUCGACUUGUGGGAGCACGCCUACUACAUCGACUACAAGAACGUCAAGGCCUCGUA